rnacentral:rRNA from 1 species
UACGUAGGUGACCAGCGUUGUCCGGAUUUACUGGGCGUAAAGAGCGCGCAGGCGGUCGUUCAAGUCGAGUGUGAAAGCCCCCGGCUCAACUGGGGAGGGUCAUUCGAUACUGAUCGACUUGAAGGCAGGAGAGGGAAGUGGAAUUCCCGGUGUAGUGGUGAAAUGCGUAGAUAUCGGGAGGAACACCAGUGGCGAAGGCGGCAUCCUGGACCAAUUCUGACGCUGAGUGAGCGAAAGCCAGGGGAGCAAACGGG